GACAUAGGUGGCGAACGUUAUCCGGAAUCAUUGGGCGUAAAGGGCGCGUAGGUGGCCCGGUCAGUCUUUGGUGAAAGCGCGGGGCUCAACCCUGCGUCGGCCAGGGAUACUGCCGCGGCUCGAGCACUGUAGAGCCAGGCGGAAUUCCGGGUGUAGCGGUGGAAUGCGUAGAGAUCCGGAAGAACACCGGUGGCGAAGGCAGGUCUCUGGGCCAUAACUGACGCUGAGAAGCGAAAGCAUGGGGAGCGAACAGG
rnacentral:rRNA from 1 species